CCGCGGGCAGGAAGGAGCCGCCGGGUCCUGGCGCCGCCCGCUGCCCCACUCACCCCAACGGGACCCGGCUGGCGCUGGCAGCCGGCCCGGGGCGCGGUUUGACUCGAGCCCUGAUCUCACGGAGGAGAACCUGAGGCCGCUUGCACGUGCCGGGGGACCGGCAGAGGGGUGCGCAGCCUCGGCGGAAAGCACCGCCCCGGGAGAAAAGGAUGACAGCAGUCAAAGCGCAGGAAAGGGAAGAACGCUCUGGAGCCGGUGGGACAGUGAGAGCAGGACUAAAACCGUACGUCCUGUAGCAUACUGAGAUCACAGGAUGUCUCCUGACAAACGAAGGAAGGAUCUUGACAAGUCAAAGACUCAGAGAAAACUGCAGGAGGAGCAGCCUGGGUGAGGCACCGUUCACGCCUGUACAUGGGAAUAUACCAGCGUGCCCCUUUCUGGCUUGCUGUUGCUGCGUCAGUUCAUUAAAAACGAAUGCAACCUUAACAUCUA